rnacentral:rRNA from 1 species
AGAAUCAACGCUGGCGGCGUGCCUAACACAUGCAAGUCGAACGAGGUCCAUCCGGUAGCAAUACUGGUGAAGAUCAAGUGGCGAACGGGUGAGUAGCACGUGAGCAACCUGCCCCGAAGACCGGGACAACACCGGGAAACCGGUGCUAAUACCGGAUAUCCCCACCGAGUCGCAUGGCUUGGUGAGGAAAUGGAUUCCGCUUCGGGAGGGGCUCGCGGCCUAUCAGCUUGUUGGUGAGGUAAUGGCUCACCAAGGCUUCGACGGGUAGCUGGUCUGAGAGGACGAUCAGCCACACUGGGACUGAGACACGGCCCAGACUCCUACGGGAGGCAGCAGUGGGGAAUCUUGCACAAUGGGCGAAAGCCUGAUGCAGCAACGCCGCGUGAGGGACGAAGGCUUUCUGAGUUGUAAACCUCUUUCAGCAGGGACGAUCGUGACGGUACCUGCAGAGAAGCCCGCAACUACGCGCCAGCAGCCG